CCUCAUCCCCUGUUCCCUUAGUUUCUCCCAAAUCGAAGACGAGGGAAGGCGAGAUCAAGAAGGGCAAGAAAAAGAUCGAACAAGAGGAGAUCGCGACGGGUUCUUGGAGGACGAGAUGGCAUUGAAAUUUCUAAACAAGAAGGGAUGGCACACCGGGAGCCUCCGAAACAUCGAGAACGUGUGGAAGGCGGAGCAGAAGCAUGAGGCCGAGCAGUGCAAGCUCGAGGAGCUCCGCAAGCAAAUCCAGGACGAGCGCGAGAGGUCCGAGUUCCGCCUCCUCCAGGAACAGGCCGACCUCGUCCCUAAGCCCCGAUCCCCAAGCUUCCUUCUUUAAUUUCUUGAUUUUAGGGAGGCAAGAAAGGUUGGAUUUUCUCUACGAGUCAGGAUUGGCGGUGGGAAAGGGGAGCUCAGAUGGGUUAAAGGCUCUUCAAGCACCACCAGCGGCGGCUUCCACUACCUCAACAUCCGAGGGUAGUUCCUCCAAGGGACUAUUCUUUUAGGAUUAUUAUGUACUUUUAUCAUGAUUUUUAUUUUUUGUGAAUCAUCAUGAUUGAGUAUAAAGAUAUGGCGUAUUGCGUGAUGA